rnacentral:misc_RNA from 1 species
GAUGAAGAACGUAGCGAAAUGCGAUACUUGGUGUGAAUUGCAGAAUCCCGCGAACCAUCGAGUCUUUGAACGCAAGUUGCGCCCGAAGCCAUCAGGUUGAGGGCACGUCUGCCUGGGCGUCACAUAUCGUUGCCCAAUGCCUAUUGCAGUGCAAUAGGAAUUUCUAGGGCGAAUGAUGGCUUCCCGUGAGCGUUGUUGCCUCGCGGUUGGUUGAAAAUCGAGUCCUUGGUAGGGUGUGCCAUGGUAGAUGGUGGUCGAGUUAGAACGAUACCGAUCAUGUGCAUGCUCCCCAAAAUAUGGCCUCUAUGACCCACACGCGUCUUUUGACGCUCAUGACGAGACCUCAGGUCAGGCGGGGCUACCCGCUGAAUUUAAGCAUAUCAAUAAGCGGAGGA